ensembl:lncRNA
UUUUUUUUUUUUUUCGGUCUGUGCCUGUGUUUUAAUUAUUUAUUUUUUAAACUUCCAACAGAUGUCUUUUAUAAGCUUACACAGCCAGGAUCAUCUGACUGGAAUCUAUUUAGCAGCGUAUCUUGCACCAACGCCUCGGGCUGAAUAAACACUGACAUGGAAGAAAGAAUCACUUGUUCACUGAUAAACUGUGUAUACAGUAGGAAAAAAAAAAAAAAAAACAACCAUCCAGGGAAAAAGGUCUACUUGAAACAUGUCACAAAACACUCAAUUAUAAAAAAGGUGUCCUUUCCCUUUAAGGAAAUAGAGGAGUUUCUUAACAAGAGAAGUCUGGCAAACUUAGGCACACAAGCAGGAUAGGCAAAGCAAAGUUUAAUAUUAGAUACAAAGACAAAUACGAAUUUAGGUGUGCAAUUAUAAGCAGGUAACAGAAAGUCCCACCUCACCACAUCGCCCACCCCCACCCACGCUGCUCCCAGGGCUGGAAAGUUCCAAACUCUGUUUCUAGAAAGCAAACAGAAAGUCCCACAUUGCUCUCAGAGUCCGCUGCCCUAUAUCCUUGCUCCUAACUGAAGCAUCCUCCCCCAAAAGGAUUAAUUUUGUGCCCAUCAACUGUGAGACCCAGGUCCGUGGAAAGAGGGAAGAAAUGCAGAAAGUAAGAUGACUGCCCAAGAGUGGGGCUUCCAGAGGGGAAUAAAGAACCAAUAUUCCAAAUUACUAUAAUAUCAAAAUUAUACGGAUACAGAAAUAAUGCUGCAUCCUUUUUCUUCUGCUGGUGACAUGAAAGGCAUUACUGAGGAGAUGGGUGGGCUGCCUGGGGUCUGCUUAAAAAGGUACAUGCAUGGAGUUCCUGUUGUGGCUCAGCUAGUAUCCAUGAGGACACAGGUUCAAUUCCUGGCCUCGCUCAGUGGUUUUAAAUACCCUUGUGUAGCUGUAAAGACAGAGGUUUGAGGGUAACACGGAAAUUUGCUCUUCACAUGCCUUAAUUAUGUUCUCCCUUGUGACAGCUCAGAUUCUUGUCUUCUGUUACCUGAAUGGUCACAGGCAGGGACUGUUAAACCCAGCAGGGUGCCAGGCACCCAGCAGGUGCCUGUUAAUAUUUGCUCAUCUGAUUAGCUGUCCACUCAUCAAAAAUGGCAGGGACUUGACAAAAGUCUGUUUAAUCUGCUGACUGCUGACAGUCAAACUGGAUAAACAAAGCUCUAAAACCGAUUUUCCAGGUCUGAACUGUGUAACCCACAUGGAUCAAAAGGACUGGAAAAUUGCAAAAUCUCUUCUUGGCUCUGGGCCGUGCAGUUACAACCAUACUUUACCACUUGUCUAAUUUAAGAGCCAUCGCUGAUGACUCAACACUCAGGUCCCGAGCACCCAUCAGCUAAGGAAUAAUCUCAGCUGAUGCAAGAGUGUCUAAGGCAGGCAGGGGUCUAAGCACUGAAUGUGCAUUAACUCUCCAAAUUCUCACAUUAACCACACACACUGGGUGUGAAUACUACCUUUAUUUUGCAAAUGAGGAAACCAAAAGCCAGAAAAGGUUGUACUUUAUUUAGAAACUGCCCAAAGUCACGCAUGUAGAGAGUAGCAAAGCCAGGAUUCAAA